CGGUUCCAGUCCGUACAACCCCA
rnacentral:siRNA from 1 species